rnacentral:misc_RNA from 1 species
ACCUAGAGGCGAUGGAUCUUGACCAGAACCGAUGAGGCAACGCCCGACGGGCCCUUUCGUGAUGAACAUUUGUGGCAUGGUAUCGACGGGGCUGGUAUCGGCACUUGGGAUCUCGACAUUUCAACCCGCAAAUUGAUCUGGUCCGCUGCGGCACGAAGCCUACUCGGCGUUUCAAACGAUCAGCCUGUGAGUUACGAAUUU